rnacentral:tRNA from 3 species
GCCCGGGUGGCGGAAUUGGUAGACGCGCUAGAUUCAGGUUCUAGUGGCCGAAAGGUCGUGGAAGUUCGAGUCUUCUCUCGGGCACCA